rnacentral:rRNA from 1 species
UACAGAGGGUGCAAGCGUUGUUCGGAAUUAUUGGGCGUAAAGGGCGCGUAGGCGGUUCGGCAAGUCUCUAGUGAAAUCUCUGGGCUCAACUCAGAGUCUGCUGGGGAAACUGCCGGGCUUGAGUGUGGGAGAGGAGAGUGGAAUUCCCGGUGUAGCGGUGAAAUGCGUAGAUAUCGGGGAGGAACACCUGAGGCGAAAGCGGCUCUCUGGACCACAACUGACGCUGAGGCGCGAAAGCUAGGGGAGCAAACAGG